UACGGAGGAUCCGAGCGUUAUCCGGAUUUAUUGGGUUUAAAGGGUGCGCAGGCGGGAGAUUAAGUCGGCGGUGAAAUUUUGCAGCUCAACUGUAAAAGUGCCUUCGAAACUGGUUUUCUUGAGUGCGUAAGAGGCAGGCGGAAUUCGUUGUGUAGCGGUGAAAUGCUUAGAUAUGACGAGGAACUCCUAUUGCGAAGGCAGCUUGCUGGGUCGUUACUGACGCUGAUGCUCGAAGGUGCGGGGAUCAAACAGGAUUAGAUACCCCCGUAGU
rnacentral:rRNA from 1 species